rnacentral:tRNA from 1 species
GGCGGACGUAGCCNAGUGGAUCAAGGCAAU